AAUACAUUCACGAUAUUAAUUAUUAAAAACAUUCACAUUGAAAACCAUUGUACAAAAUGAAAUCAAAUUAAACACAUUUCCUUUACAAACAGUAAAACGACGUUUUCGUUACGCUACUCUCGUAUAUUUUGACCUCUAACGAACGAUAUUCCAAAUUCUAGUGUACGAACACGCUACGAGAUGGCGCCGUGCAUCCGUUUGUCCCGUUUGUCAAUAAUAUUAUUUGUCACA